rnacentral:rRNA from 1 species
UACAGAGGUCUCAAGCGUUGUUCGGAUUCAUUGGGCGUAAAGGGUGCGUAGGCGGCGCGGUAAGUCGGGUGUGAAAGCUCGGAGCUCAACUCCGAAAUGGCAUUGGAAACUACCUUGCUCGAGGGUUGGAGGGGGGACUGGAAUGCUUGGUGUAGCAGUGAAAUGCGUAGAUAUCAAGCGGAACACCAGUGGCGAAGGCGAGUCCCUGGACAACUCCUGACACUGAGGCACGAAAGCUAGGGGAGCAAACAGG